UACAGAGGUCUCAAGCGUUGUUCGGAUUCAUUGGGCGUAAAGGGUGCGUAGGCGGCGCGGUAAGUCGGGUGUGAAAUCUCGGGAGCUUAACUCCGAAACUGCAUUCGAUACUGCCGUGCUUGAGGACUGGAGAGGAGACUGGAAUUUACGGUGUAGCGGUGAAAUGCGUAGAUAUCGUAAGGAAGACCAGUGGCGAAGGCGGGUCUCUGGACAGUUCCUGACGCUGAGGCACGAAGGUCAGGGGGAGCAAACGGG
rnacentral:rRNA from 1 species